AAAAACUCAAUUUCUGAGUUUCCGUGUCUAACGUUUGACCGUUCGUCUUAUUUAAAAAAAAUAUAAACAAAUUUAAAAAGAUAAGUCAUGCAUAAAGUAUUAUACAUGUUUUAUCAACUAACAAUAAUAAAAAUACUAAUCAUAAAAAAAUUUCAUAUAAGACGGAUAGUAAAACGUUGGACACGGAAACCGAAGAGUUCUGUCUUU
rnacentral:pre_miRNA from 1 species